AUGGCCGCAUCGAUCAUUUCCAGAUCAUGUGAUGGACCUGCCCACUCUCCGUUAAACCAUCUUCUUAUUUCGCUGCCCCCACCCACCCCCCAUAAGCUCGGAGGCUCGCCCGCUCGUUCGUCAGCUGUUGGCCGUCUCCACGAGGGACUCCAUCCGCACCCGCGGACGGCGAGGUUCUCCGCCAUGGCGACGGCGUUCAAGGCGUUCUUGAACAGCCCCGUCGGCCCCAAGACCACUCACUUCUGGGGACCCGUCAGCAACUGGGGCUUCAUCCUCGCGGGUAUGGCUGACAUGAACAAGCCACCUGAAUUGAUAUCCGGCCAUAUGACUGCAGUCAUGUGUGUGUAUUCUGGCCUAUUUAUGAGGUUCGCAUGGGUGGUACGGCCCCGAAACUAUUUUCUUAUGGCAACUCAUGCCUCCAACGAAAGCGUUCAGCUCUACCAGUUAUCUCGCUAUGCUAGGGCUCAAGGUUACCUAGAGAAGAAAGAGCCUGAAGCCCAACAAUAA
rnacentral:rRNA from 1 species